rnacentral:tRNA from 1 species
GGCGGCGUACCCAAGUGGUUAAGGGAGAGGUCUGCAAAACCUCCAUGCACCGGUUCGAAUCCGGUCGCCGCCU